rnacentral:lncRNA from 1 species
AACAUUAAACGCGGGCGUCGGGAGCAAACUCGGGCACGUAAACCGAGCGUUGUAAAAGAUUGUGUUCAAUGAAUAAUGAAACAUGUCCACAUGAUUGACUUGAUCAUUUUCCGGGGCUGAGGGGGGACGGGCGCCCAGCUCGCGCGCCUCAGUCGCCCACUCGCCAGAGCCCGGCCAAGUGCUCUCAGCCCAGCCCGAGCAGGGCAGGCUCGCUUUUCAUCAAGCUCAUUUCAGAAUCGCCCCGUUCAUUGAUACUCAUCAUCCAACCCCAGCAGACAUCCCAUCCCCUGCUCGGCCUCCCCCUAUCUGAGGCGCCUACCCAUGCUGAACUGGGAUGCCCCUUCCAGUGGCCCCGGCAUCCCUCUGCAGCCCUUGGAGCAUACACAUCCAGGAAGGACUAGUCCCCGCUCUCUAGAAAGCCCGUGGAGCCUCAUCUGGGGUCUCUUGGAGUCCGUGGAGCUUUUAAAGGACCUGGUGAGUCUGGAUCCGCUGGACAGCGACUUCCCACCACCUGAGAACCGGAGACCCACAGCGUGGACCAGAACAACUCAGGCCAGGGCUCUCCGGCGCCCCCUGUCGGCGUUGCAGCGCUUGUCACCUCGUUUCAGUCAAG